rnacentral:tRNA from 1 species
GGAGAGAUGGCUUUGUUGGUAAAGUGCUUGCCUUGCAAGCAAGAGGACCUCAUUUUA